CCUACGGGUGGCAGCAGUGGGGAAUAUUGCACAAUGGAGGAAACCCUGAUGCAGCGACGCCGCGUGAGUGAAGAAGGUUUUCGGUAUGUAAACCUCUGUCAGGAGGGAAGAAAAUGACUGUACCUGAUCAGCAAUGCGCUGAUAACUACGUCCCAGCAGCCGCGGUAAUACGUAGGGGGCAAGCGUUAUUUGGAUCUACGGGCUGUAAAGUGAGCGUAGACUGCAGGGCAAGUCUGGGGUGAAAUGCCGGGGCUUAACCCUGGAACUGCCUUUGACACUGUGCGACUAGAGUGCGGGAGAGGGAAGCGGAAGUCCAGGUGUAGCAGUGAAAUGCGUAGAUAUUAGGAGGAACACCAGUGGCGAAGGCGGCUUCCUGGACUGGAACUGACGCUGAGGCGCGAAAGCGUGGGGAGCAAACAGGAUUAGAUACCCGAGUAGUC
rnacentral:rRNA from 1 species